rnacentral:rRNA from 1 species
GUAGGGAAUCUUCCGCAAUGGACGAAAGUCUGACGGAGCAACGCCGCGUGAGUGAUGAAGGUUUUCGGAUCGUAAAACUCUGUUGUUAGGGAAGAACAAGUAUCGGAGUAACUGCCGGUACCUUGACGGUACCUAACCAGAAAGCCACGGCUAACUACGUGCCAGCAGCCGCGGUAAUACGUAGGUGGCAAGCGUUGUCCGGAAUUAUUGGGCGUAAAGCGCGCGCAGGCGGUCCUUUAAGUCUGAUGUGAAAUCUCGCGGCUCAACCGCGAGCGGUCAUUGGAAACUGGGGGACUUGAGUACAGAAGAGGAAAGCGGAAUUCCACGUGUAGCGGUGAAAUGCGUAGAGAUGUGGAGGAACACCAGUGGCGAAGGCGGCUUUCUGGUCUGUAACUGACGCUGAGGCGCGAAAGCGUGGGGAGCAAACAGGAUUAGAAACCCGAGUAGUCC